rnacentral:rRNA from 1 species
CCUACGGGUGGCAGCAGUGAGGAAUAUUGGUCAAUGGGCGAGAGCCUGAACCAGCCAAGUCGCGUGAAGGAUGAAGGAUCUAUGGUUUGUAAACUUCUUUUAUAUGGGAAUAAAGUGAGGAACGUGUUCCUUUUUGUAUGUACCAUAUGAAUAAGCAUCGGCUAACUCCGUGCCAGCAGCCGCGGUAAUACGGAGGAUGCGAGCGUUAUCCGGAUUUAUUGGGUUUAAAGGGGGCGUAGGUGGUUAAUUAAGUCAGCGGUGAAAGUUUGUGGCUCAACCAUAAAAUUGCCGUUGAAACUGGUUGACUUGAGUAUAUUUGAGGUAGGCGGAAUGCGUGGUGUAGCGGUGAAAUGCAUAGAUAUCACGCAGAACACCGAUUGCGAAGGCAGCUUACUAAACUAUAACUGACACUGAAGCACGAAAGCGUGGGGAGCAAACAGGAUUAGAUACCCUUGUAGUC